rnacentral:rRNA from 1 species
GACGUAGGGGGCAAGCGUUAAUCGGAAUUACUGGGCGUAAAGCGUGCGCAGGCGGUGUUGUAAGUCAGUUGUGAAAUCCCCGGGCUCAACCUGGGAACUGCAUCUGUGACUGCAUUGCUGGAGUGCGGCAGAGGGGGAUGGAAUUCCGCGUGUAGCAGUGAAAUGCGUAGAUAUGCGGAGGAACACCGAUGGCGAAGGCAAUCCCCUGGGCCUGCACUGACGCUCAUGCACGAAAGCGUGGGGAGCAAACAGG